UCAUGUUUCUGUGUGGUCCUCACCUC
rnacentral:piRNA from 1 species